rnacentral:rRNA from 1 species
CCUACGGGGUGCUGCAGUGAGGAAUAUUGGUCAAUGGGCGAGAGCCUGAACCAGCCAAGUCGCGUGAAGGAUGACGGCCUACGGGUUGUAAACUUCUUUUGUCGGGGAGCAAUUGUGUCCACGCGUUGGCUUAGCGCACGUACCUUACGAACAAGCAUCGGCUAACUCCGUGCCAGCAGCCGCGGUAAUACGGAGGAUACGAGCGUUAUCCGGAUUUAGUGGGUUUAAAGGGUGCGUAGGCGGAAUGUCAAGUCAGCGGUAAAAAUUCGGGGCUCACCCCCGGCGUGCCGUUGAAACUGAUGUGCGUGAGUGGGCGAGAAGUAGGUGGAAUGCGUGGUGUAGCGGUGAAAUGCAUAGAUAUCACGCAGAACUCCGAUUGCGAAGGCAGCAUACCGGAGCCCAACUGACGCUGAAGCACGAAAGCGUGGGUAGCGAACAGGAUUAGAUACCCGGGUAGUC